ACAUUAUCAUCUACCUUUCAAGAAAAGAGUGCAAGAUUUAGAGCAAUGAGGGAAAAACAAGACCACAUUCACACAAUGAGUCGGAGGGGUUAUGCUCGUUUGACUCACAUUAUGAAAAAGACAAGUCCGAUAGAUACAAAAAUUACGAGAUCGCAAGUUUGGAUUGAAGGUCACAAGAAAAAAAAAUGGGGAGCCCAGUACUCAAGCCGUUGGAGAGAAAAUGGUAAGC